UACAGAGGGUGCAAGCGUUAAUCGGAAUUAUUGGGCGUAAAGCGCGCGCAGGUGGUUUCUUAAGUCUGAUGUGAAAGCCCACGGCUCAACCGUGGAGGGUCAUUGGAAACUGGGAGACUUGAGUGCAGAAGAGGAAAGUGGAAUUCCAUGUGUAGCGGUGAAAUGCGUAGAGAUAUGGAGGAACACCAGUGGCGAAGGCGACUUUCUGGUCUGUAACUGACACUGAGGCGCGAAAGCGUGGGGAGCAAACAGG
rnacentral:rRNA from 1 species